AGUGGAGCUGCUGCUGAAGCUUUACCCCAGAUACCACUUCAAAAGGCAGGUUGUCUGACCCUUUACUCUCCAUCUCACACACUACUCAGCAGUUUUCCCCUUAGACCAUUCCUCUGUCACACACUGUCCUUCAACACACAAACAAGCACACGCAUCCAUCAAACCAACCAACGUAAAUCAGUCCAACUCAUCGUAGACCAUGCAUGGUAACGUUUAUUCCAGACAUGCAGAAUGUUCACAACAGAGAUGGAAACCAGCACAUAGAAUAUAUUUAUAUAUAUAUAUAUAUAUAAAUAUAUUCUAUCCAAAAUGGGAAAAAAUCUGCACAUAAAGAAAAUGAUAGACAUGAUUUUGAAAGUCACUGUUUUACUGACACAGCACGUAUGCAUCUCGCAGCAGAAAGACGGCCAGAGAAUGAUGUGACAGAACAGUGCGGAAGGUGAGUGGGAACUAUUUCAUGCAUAGACAAAUUACCAUAAAAAUGUGUCUUAUGGGUAUUAAGUUGAAUUGUCUCUUCAAUGGCAGACUGAGUCACUGAAUUUCCCCUGCUAGAUUGGGGUCUCUCUCUCUCUGCCAUUUGCUCUUACUGUAUGACAUAGAGCAGCCAUCUACUUUCUCCCCAAAGUCAGGUUUCUAAAAGCCCUUUAGGAGUGUGUGAGAAGUUUCCAGACUGAGGCAUGUCUGUUGCCCAAAGAUAAACAUUAGAGCUCUUUAGACAGGGAUGUCUCUUCAGCCCAUCUGUCCAGUGAAGCACGCUGUGGCUACAGUAGCUUCCUACUGUGCAAUAUAACUUGUAUUACCAAAAGGGCAGCAAGUUUGUUAUCAUACCCAUAGAUGUACUGUAAGGCUGUCUUGAGUUCAGUGCCUUUAAACAUCAUGACCAUGUUGAAUCAUUCACCAGCUGUGGUCCUAUUUCUAUUUGUUGUUUCUAGAAAUACAGUACAGAUGCCUAAAAAUGUAACAUUGCCAGGUGUUCUGCUUUUAAUUGCUGUGACUUUCUGAUUAGAAAUGGUUUGUCAAUGCUCGCUUUGGGUUGGAUCUGGAGUGAUCUAGUGCUUUGCAUGCUUAGACAGGGGCGUUACUGGGGUUUUUUUCAGCAAGGAAUGAACCAAUAGGUGUUCAUAGUUUAAACCAUCACUUUAGAUCUCUUUGAAGAUUUUAAAUUCAGGCCAAAUAAAUGCAAUCAAAUCAUUAUCAUAUAAUUUUCUCUUUGGUCUCAUUUGUGCAGCUAACACCUACAUAAGCCCUUGAUAAUACAGGCAGUGGAAUCAAGAACUAUUGGCCAACUUAAAGUAUUGAAAUCAAAUUGGACUUCAGGAGAAUGUUAUGAGUAGUAAUAUGAACAUGAAUGUAAGUCCAAACAAGGCUGUUAUGAAGCAUUAUGUAGUUAUGAAGGUUUUAUAAGAGGUGUUAUGACCUUGUAGUAAACAUCUGAAGUGUGUCAAUAUAACAGUCCUUUGUUGUGUUACCGUAGUUGAAUCUGAACAAACUGUGUCUUAUUACAGAUCGCAUAGUGGCACAUUUGAAUACAGACAAAUUGGUGUGUUACAGUACAUGUACAGAGAGAACGGCUGCUAAUCAAUCAAACCUCAAAACAAUGUUCCUUUAACGUUACAGCAGGUCCUUACAGUGGCAUCCAAAAAUCUGGCUACUGUUUAGUCCAAAGCAUGCCUAUAUAAUAUUGCAUAUAUAUUCUUCAUAUAAAUACAUGUCAUACCGAUACAGCAGGGUGGCAAUAGGUUAAGGAUUUGUGUUGGUCUCUGUAGUACUACAAAAUGCAUUCAGUCAAACAAGCUAUGUUAACAGUCCCAGGUAAUGAGACAAGGUGCUGGAGUAGCAUGGGUUGUAUUUGGAGGGGGAGCUAGGGGGUCAGUGGGUAAGUGGGUUGUAUUUGGAUUGGGAACUAGGGGGUCAGUGGGUAAGUGGGUUGUAUUUGGAGGAGGAGCUAGUGGGUCAGUGGGUAAGUGGGUUGUAUUUGGAGGGGGAGCUAGGGGGUAAGUGGGUUGUAUUUGGAGGGGGAGCUAGGGGGUAAGUGGGUUGUAUUUGGAGGGGGAGCUAGGGGGUAAGUGGGUUGUAUUUGGAGGGGGAGCUAGGGGGUAAGUGGGUUGUAUUUGGAGGAGGAGCUAGGGGGUCAGUGGGUAAGUGGGUUGUAUUUGGAGGGGGAGCUAGGGGGUAAGUGGGUUGUAUUUGGAGGGGGAGCUAGGGGUCAGUGGGUAAGUGGGUUAUAUUUGGAGGGGGAGCUAGGGGGUCAGUGGGUAAGUGGGUUAUAUUUGGAGGGGGAGCUAGGGGGUCAGUGGGUAAGUGGGUUGUAUUUGGAGGGGGAGCUAGGGGGUCAGUGGGUAAGUGGGUUGUAUUUGGAGGGGGAGCUAGGGGGUCAGUGGGUAAGUGGGUUAUAUUUGGAGGGGGAGCUAGGGGGUCAGUGGGUAAGUGGGUUGUAUUUGGAGGGGGAGCUAGGGGGUCAGUGGGUAAGUGGGUUGUAUUUGGAGGGGGAGCUAGGGGGUCAGUGGGUAAGUGGGUUGUAUUUGGAGGGGGAGCUAGGG
rnacentral:lncRNA from 1 species